rnacentral:rRNA from 1 species
UCAAGCGAACAAGUGCAUGUGGUGGAUGCCUUGGCGAUCACAGGCGAUGAAGGACGCGGUAGCCUGCGAAAAGCUACGGGGAGCUGGCAAACAAGCUUUGAUCCGUAGAUGUCCGAAUGGGGAAACCCACUCCUUUUGGAGUAUCCAUGGCUGAAUACAUAGGCCAUGUGAAGCGAACGCGGUGAACUGAAACAUCUAAGUAACCGCAGGAAAAGAAAUCAACCGAGAUUCCCAAAGUAGUGGCGAGCGAAAUGGGAUGAGCCUUGCACUCUUUAUUUGUAUUGUUAGCCGAACGCUCUGGAAAGUGCGGCCAUAGCGGGUGAUAGCCCCGUAGGCGAAAACAGUAUGAAAGAACUAGGUGUGCGACAAGUAGGGCGGGACACGUGAAAUCCUGUCUGAAGAUGGGGGGACCAUCCUCCAAGGCUAAAUACUCGUGAUCGACCGAUAGUGAACCAGUACCGUGAGGGAAAGGUGAAAAGAACCCCGGGAGGGGAGUGAAAUAGAUCCUGAAACCGCAUGCAUACAAACAGUCGGAGCCUCGAAAGGGGUGACGGCGUACCUUUUGUAUAAUGGGUCAGCGACUUACGUUCAGUAGCAAGCUUAACCGUAUAGGGCAGGCGUAGCGAAAGCGAGUCCGAAUAGGGCGUUCAGUUGCUGGGCGUAGACCCGAAACCAAGUGAUCUAUCCAUGGCCAGGAUGAAGGUGCGGUAACACGUACUGGAGGUCCGAACCCACUAACGUUGAAAAGUUAGGGGAUGAGCUGUGGAUAGGGGUGAAAGGCUAAACAAACUUGGAAAUAGCUGGUUCUCUCCGAAAACUAUUUAGGUAGUGCCUCGUGUCUCACCUUCGGGGGUAGAGCACUGUCAUGGUUGGGGGGUCCAUUGCGGAUUACCCCGCCAUAGCAAACUCCGAAUACCGAAGAGUGCAAUCACGGGAGACAGACAUCGGGUGCUAACGUCCGGUGUCAAGAGGGAAACAACCCAGACCGCCAGCUAAGGUCCCCAAAUAUAGCUAAGUGGGAAACGAAGUGGGAAGGCUAAAACAGUCAGGAGGUUGGCUUAGAAGCAGCCACCCUUUAAAGAAAGCGUAAUAGCUCACUGAUCGAGUCGUCCUGCGCGGAAGAUGUAACGGGGCUAAGCUAUAUACCGAAGCUGCGGAU